UUGAGGUUGACUGAUAGAGAAACUAGUGGAUUAAUUUGUAAUAGAAAAAUAUAUUGAAAUAAGUACAAGUAUAGUGUAUGAGGUCAAAAUUAAAUAAAUUGUUAUCAUUAUUUAUUAAUUU